UACGUAGGGGGCUAGCGUUGUCCGGAAUCAUUGGGCGUAAAGAGCGUGUAGGCGGCCCGGUAAGUCCGCUGUGAAAGUCGGGGACUCAACCCUCGAAAGCCGGUGGAUACUGUCGGGCUAGAGUGCGGAAGAGGCGAGUGGAAUUCCUGGUGUAGCGGUGAAAUGCGCAGAUAUCAGGAGGAACACCGAUUGCGAAGGCAGCUCGCUGGGACGUAACUGACGCUGAGACGCGAAAGCGUGGGGAGCAAACAGG
rnacentral:rRNA from 1 species